CUUAACCAUGCAAGUCGAACGGGAUCCAUCAGGCUUUGCUUGUGGUGAGAGUGGCGAACGGGUGAGUAAUGCGUGACCGACCUGCCCCAUACACCGGAAUAGCUCCUGGAAACGGGUGGUAAUGCCGGAUGCUCCAGUUGAUCGCAUGGUCUUCUGGGAAAGCUUUCGCGGUAUGGGAUGGGGUCGCGUCCUAUCAGCUUGACGGCGGGGUAACGGCCCACCGUGGCUUCGACGGGUAGCCGGCCUGAGAGGGCGACCGGCCACAUUGGGACUGAGAUACGGCCCAGACUCCUACGGGAGGCAGCAGUGGGGAAUAUUGCACAAUGGGCGCAAGCCUGAUGCAGCGACGCCGCGUGAGGGAUGGAGGCCUUCGGGUUGUAAACCUCUUUUAUCGGGGAGCAAGCGAGAGUGAGUUUACCCGUUGAAUAAGCACCGGCUAACUACGUGCCAGCAGCCGCGGUAAUACGUAGGGUGCAAGCGUUAUCCGGAAUUAUUGGGCGUAAAGGGCUCGUAGGCGGUUCGUCGCGUCCGGUGUGAAAGUCCAUCGCUUAACGGUGGAUCCGCGCCGGGUACGGGCGGGCUUGAGUGCGGUAGGGGAGACUGGAAUUCCCGGUGUAACGGUGGAAUGUGUAGAUAUCGGGAAGAACACCAAUGGCGAAGGCAGGUCUCUGGGCCGUUACUGACGCUGAGGAGCGAAAGCGUGGGGAGCGAACAGGAUUAGAUACCCUGGUAGUCCACGCCGUAAACGGUGGAUGCUGGAUGUGGGGCCCGUUCCACGGGUUCCGUGUCGGAGCUAACGCGUUAAGCAUCCCGCCUGGGGAGUACGGCCGCAAGGCUAAAACUCAAAGAAAUUGACGGGGGCCCGCACAAGCGGCGGAGCAUGCGGAUUAAUUCGAUGCAACGCGAAGAACCUUACCUGGGCUUGACAUGUUCCCGACGGUCGUAGAGAUACGGCUUCCCUUCGGGGCGGGUUCACAGGUGGUGCAUGGUCGUCGUCAGCUCGUGUCGUGAGAUGUUGGGUUAAGUCCCGCAACGAGCGCAACCCUCGCCCCGUGUUGCCAGCGGAUUAUGCCGGGAACUCACGGGGGACCGCCGGGGUUAACUCGGAGGAAGGUGGGGAUGACGUCAGAUCAUCAUGCCCCUUACGUCCAGGGCUUCACGCAUGCUACAAUGGCCGGUACAACGGGAU
rnacentral:rRNA from 1 species